GACAGAGGUGCCAAGCGUUAGGCGGAAUCACUGGGCUUAAAGCGUGUGUAGGCGGAAUGGUAAGUACCUUGUGGAAAUCCCACGGCUCAACCGUGGAACUGCUCGGUAUACUGCUUUUCUUGAGCCACUUAGGGGCUGUCGGAACAAACGGUGGAGCGGUGAAAUGCGUAGAUAUCAUUUGGAACGCCAAUGGUGAAAACAGCUCGCUGGGGGUGCACUGACACUGAGACACGAAGCCAGGGGAGCGAACGGG
rnacentral:rRNA from 1 species